UACAGAGGGGGCGAGCGUUAUUCGGAAUUAUUGGGCGUAAAGGGCGCGUAGGCGGCCAUUCAAGUGACGGGUGAAAGCCCUCGGCUUAACCGAGGAACUGCCUGUCAGACUGGAUGGCUUGAAUCCAGGAGAGGUGAGUGGAAUUCCGAGUGUAGAGGUGAAAUUCGUAGAUAUUCGGAAGAACACCAGUGGCGAAGGCGGCUCACUGGACUGGUAUUGACGCUGAGGUGCGAAAGCGUGGGGAGCAAACAGG
rnacentral:rRNA from 1 species